rnacentral:rRNA from 1 species
GACGAACGCUGGCGGCGUGCUUAACACAUGCCAGUCGAACGGAAAGGCCCUGCUUGCAGGGUGCUCGAGUGGCGAACGGGUGAGUAACACGUGGGUGAUCUGCCCCUUACUUUGGGAUAAGCCUGGGAAACUGGGUCUAAUACUGGAUAGGACCAUGCUGUAGGUGGUGUGGUGGAAAGAUUAGUUUCGGUAAGGGAUGAGCUCGCGGCCUAUCAGCUUGUUGGUGGGGUAAUGGCCUACCAAGGCGUCGACGGGUAGCCGGCCUGAGAGGGUGGACGGCCACAUUGGGACUGAGAUACGGCCCAGACUCCUAAGGGAGGCAGCAGUGGGGAAUAUUGCACAAUGGGCGCAAGCCUGAUGCAGCGACGCCGCGUGGGGGAUGACGGCCUUCGGGUUGUAAACUCCUUUCAGCCAUGACGAAGCCCUUGUGGUGACGGUAGUGGUAGAAGAAGCACCGGCUAACUACGUG